UGGGGAAUAUUGCACAAUGGGCGAAAGCCUGAUGCAGCGACGCCGCGUGAGGGAUGACGGCCUUCGGGUUGUAAACCUCUUUCAGUAGGGACGAAGCGCAAGUGACGGUACCUGCAGAAGAAGCACCGGCUAACUACGUGCCAGCAGCCGCGGUAAUACGUAGGGUGCGAGCGUUGUCCGGAAUUACUGGGCGUAAAGAGCUCGUAGGCGGUUUGUCACGUCGUCUGUGAAAUCCUAGGGCUUAACCCUGGACGUGCAGGCGAUACGGGCUGACUUGAGUGCUACAGGGGAGACUGGAAUUUCUGGUGUAGCGGUGGAAUGCACAGAUAUCAGGAAGAACACCGAUGGCGAAGGCAGGUCUCUGGGUAGUAACUGACGCUGAGGAGCGAAAGCAUGGGUAGCGAACAGG
rnacentral:rRNA from 1 species